rnacentral:ncRNA from 1 species
AGUGAACCAGUACCGUGAGGGAAAGGCGAAAAGAACCCCUGUAAGGGGAGUGAAAUAGAACCUGAAACCGUGUACGUACAAGCAGUAGGAGCCCACCACCAAAUAUCUUUGUUGGGGUUCUUUAACAUCGACCUGCGAAGCAGCCGAUGGUAAAAGACGUCCUGAGAAAUAGAACCUAGGUGGUUCAAAUAGCAGAGCUAUUUGGGGUGGGUGACUGCGUACCUUUUGUAUAAUGGGUCAGCGACUUAUAUUCUGUAGCGAGGUUAACCGAAUAGGGUAGCCGUAGCGAAAGCGAGUCUUAA